UGGUUUGAUUCAUCUGAUUCUGGAAAGGAACUGAAGUUAUCAGACUCGAGUUCACUGUGGAGGCUGACACCGACACCCUGAUCUUUUGCCACGGAGGAAGCGAUCAUGGAGCAAACAUGGAGCAGAGGCUGAGCUCAGGCGGAUGUGUCAAACAGCUUCUCGAUCAUCUCCUCCACAUCCUCCGGCC